AGAAAAAGACUAGGAAAAAUCUCCAAAUCUCCAUCACAAGCAACUAAGUUCAAUAGCUUCUUGGAACCUCUUGUCAUACGUAGCGGGAUUGCCAAAUAGCCAAAGACUAAACUUCGAACGAGCAGAACUUUCCGAUGAGUUUCUCGCCGGAAAAAGGCAUUUAACUAUGGAGGCUGACGGUUCCGGUGUGGCUGUAGUCUGCAGAGUAUUGUUUGUUGUUAU